rnacentral:rRNA from 1 species
CCUACGGGAGGCAGCAGUGAGGAAUAUUGGUCAAUGGACGAGAGUCUGAACCAGCCAAGUAGCGUGAAGGAUGACUGCCCUAUGGGUUGUAAACUUCUUUUAUAUGGGAAUAAAAUGUUCCACGUGUGGGAUUUUGUAUGUACCAUAUGAAUAAGGAUCGGCUAACUACGUGCCAGCAGCCGCGGUAAUACGGAGGAUCCGAGCGUUAUCCGGAUUUAUUGGGUUUAAAGGGAGCGUAGGUGGAUUGUUAAGUCAGUUGUGAAAGUUUGCGGCUCAACCGUAAAAUUGCAGUUGAAACUGGCAGUCUUGAGUACAGUAGAGGUGGGCGGAAUUCGUGGUGUAGCGGUGAAAUGCUUAGAUAUCACGAAGAACUCCGAUUGCGAAGGCAGUUCACUGGACUGCAACUGACACUGAGGCUCGAAAGUGUGGGUAUCAAACAGGAUUAGAUACCCGAGUAGUC